rnacentral:rRNA from 1 species
AUUGAACGCUGGCGGCAUGCCUUACACAUGCAAGUCGAACGGCAGCACGGGGCAACCUGGUGGCGAGUGGCGAACGGGUGAGUAAUGCAUCGGAACGUACCUUUCAGUGGGGGAUAACGUAGCGAAAGUUACGCUAAUACCGCAUAUUCUGUGAGCAGGAAAGCAGGGGAUCGCAAGACCUUGCGCUGAUUGAGCGGCCGAUGUCAGAUUAGCUAGUUGGUGAGGUAAAGGCUCACCAAGGCGACGAUCUGUAGCGGGUCUGAGAGGAUGAUCCGCCACACUGGAACUGAGCAACGGUCCAGACUCCUACGGGAGGCAGCAGUGGGGAAUUUUGGACAAUGGGGGCAACCCUGAUCCAGCCAUGCCGCGUGAGUGAAGAAGGCCUUCGGGUUGUAGAGCUCUUUCGGCCGGGAAGAAAUCGCACGGGCUAAUACCCUGUGUGGAUGACGGUACCGGAAUAAGAAGCACCGGCUAACUACGUGCCAGCCGCCGCCGUAACAC